rnacentral:rRNA from 1 species
AUUGAACGCUGGCGGCAGGCCUAACACAUGCAAGUCGAGCGGAUGAAGGGAGCUUGCUCCUGGAUUCAGCGGCGGACGGGUGAGUAAUGCCUAGGAAUCUGCCUGGUAGUGGGGGAUAACGUCCGGAAACGGGCGCUAAUACCGCAUACGUCCUGAGGGAGAAAGUGGGGGAUCUUCGGACCUCACGCUAUCAGAUGAGCCUAGGUCGGAUUAGCUAGUUGGUGGGGUAAAGGCCUACCAAGGCGACGAUCCGUAACUGGUCUGAGAGGAUGAUCAGUCACACUGGAACUGAGACACGGUCCAGACUCCUACGGGAGGCAGCAGUGGGGAAUAUUGGACAAUGGGCGAAAGCCUGAUCCAGCCAUGCCGCGUGUGUGAAGAAGGUCUUCGGUUUGUAAAGCACUUUAAGUUGGGAGGGAGGGCAGUAAGUUAAUACCUUGCUGUUUUGACGUUACCAACAGAAUAAGCACCGGCUAACUUCGUG